rnacentral:rRNA from 1 species
UACGAAGGGGGCUAGCGUUGCUCGGAAUCACUGGGCGUAAAGGGUGCGUAGGCGGGUUUUUAAGUCAGGGGUGAAAUCCUGGAGCUCAACUCCAGAACUGCCUUUGAUACUGAAGAUCUUGAGUUCGGGAGAGGUGAGUGGAACUCCGAGUGUAGAGGUGAAAUUCGUAGAUAUUCGGAAGAACACCAGUGGCGAAGGCGACUCACUGGCCCGAUACUGACGCUGAGGCGCGAAAGCGUGGGGAGCAAACAGG